GACGAACGCUGGCGGCGUGCCUAAUACAUGCAAGUUGAGCGAUGAAGAUUGGUGCUUGCACCAAUUUGAAGAGCAGCGAACGGGUGAGUAACGCGUGGGGAAUCUGCCUUUGAGCGGGGGACAACAUUUGGAAACGAAUGCUAAUACCGCAUAACAACUUUAAACAUAAGUUUUAAGUUUGAAAGAUGCAAUUGCAUCACUCAAAGAUGAUCCCGCGUUGUAUUAGCUAGUUGGUGAGGUAAAGGCUCACCAAGGCGAUGAUACAUAGCCGACCUGAGAGGGUGAUCGGCCACAUUGGGACUGAGACACGGCCCAAACUCCUACGGGAGGCAGCAGUAGGGAAUCUUCGGAAAUGGACGAAAGUCUGACCGCGCAACGCCGCGUGAGUGAAGAAGGUUUUCGGAUCGUAAAACUCUGUUGGUAGAGAAGAACGCUGGUGAGAGUGGAAAGCUCAUCAAGUGACGGUAACUACCCAGAAAGGGACGGCUAACUACGUG
rnacentral:rRNA from 1 species